CAGGAACACACAUUCCCCAAGAGAGGAACACCCCUUCGAAGGGCCGCCCACACGCAGAGAUUCCUCCCUUUAUUCUUUGUGUCUUGUUGACGGGUGUUUUUGCCAUGACGCAUCCAAACUGCCUUGACCCGUAUUAAGGUGAAUGCCUCAGUUUCUCACAUCCUAGAACAGUAUUGUUCUUGUGCGGUGUUGUGCAUAUAAAUGUUAAAUAGUCUACAUGUCGUAAAAUCUCUUUAGCAAGCAGCAUCAGGAUGCAUAUUUGGAGAAAAAAGAGUGAAUGGGAUAUGUGGGAAACCUGUUUUCUAAACAAAUGAGAUAAUGAUCAGUGUGUUUGCGUGCACGUGUUUGUGUGUGUGUGUGUGUGUGUGUGUGUGUGUGUGUGUGUGUGUGUGUGUGUGUGUGUGUGUGUGUGUGUGUGUGUGUGUGUGUGUGUGUGUGUGUUUGUUGUGGGGAAGGGGAGGGAGGGAAGGGAGGGGAAGGAAGGGAGGGACACAGGUUAUAACACUCAUAUAACACACUUCCUCAGUACACACAGUACGCACACUGCAUCAGAACACUCUUUCUUCACACGCAGCAGCACCAUUCAAACUAAACAUGAGCGGAGCCAACGCAGUCAUCAACUCCGCCAUUGAGAAGGCUGCUGACAUGGCAAAAGACAAAGUAGCCGACCUGAUGGGGGGAAAGGCUGAAGACAAGGAAGGAGGUGCAGGAGCAGCUGCAGGAGCAGGAGACCUUUUAUCUGGCCUGGCCAGCGGGCUGGGAGGCGGAGAGGCAGCGCCAGCGGCCGAAGGCGCCGGCAUUGGUGGCUUAGCGAAAAAGUUUGGCUUCUAAUCUCCUGGACCCUUCCUUCUACAUACUGGAAUAUAUAUAUGAAUAUAAAUUGAGAAAAACCACAAGCCUGGAACUUUGACUUGGAGAUCAACCAGCUGCUGUAUGCCAAAUGGUGGCCCAAAAUUGUUGUUGUCAUGAAAAUAAAAUAAAUAACAACAAGCACUGCCUCAUGUUUUUCAUUCCGUUUUAUUGGUUUUCGACAAAGAGAAAAAAACAUUGACACCAUUUGGUGUCAAUGUACGAAGCAACCUUUGCUUCAUGCAGCAAACAUAUGAGUCAGUUUGGCUAAUUUGCCUGCAUCUGUCUGAAGGGCGUGUCUUUUUUGGGUAGCAUUUAUCUGUACCUCUCGCAUGUUUGGUCUUAUCCAGGGUUGCCCAAAGACAUUGGACAACUCAAAGAGCUAUCCCAGAGAGUCACAUGCCUUUGAUUUUUUAAGUAUGGAUUCAUAAAAGUUAGUGUUUUAUGUCAUGAUAUGAUAUGCUAUUUAUGUGUUGAAUGUGAAUCGACUGCGUUUGUUAUGUUAUAGUAACCCACACUCAUUUUUGUAGGCC
ensembl:lncRNA